UUGCUUUUACUUCUUUUUUAUUUUCCUUUGAUAGUCUGUUAAAGAAAAACAGCCAAAGAGUGGUGGUAAGACAAAGAAGAGGCCAAGAUCUUUGAUUUAUAAAGACAGCGAUGGGAGCAUGACAAGAUCUACACCUUCUUCAAGGCUAACUAUUGAAGAAGAGCUGCACUUAACAGCACCCCAACCCAGUCAAUUGAGUUAAACAAGUCAAUCCAGUAGCAAUAUAUGACCCCAAUACAGGUGUAUGCCAACAUCAUCUGUGCCAAGGAAGCAAUCCUUCAACAGUGCAUCCACAUUUUUAGAUUUUGAUUAUGCAGAAUUUGACAAUCUAGACCCCCUUCUAAUUCCAAGGAGUGUGUCAGAAGCAACAACUAGACUCCAAAUGAGGGAGCAAGUUGGGCACCAACUGGAACAAGGACUAUCAACUUUGUUGGUUAUGCCAAUGGUGUGAGUGAGCCAACAUUACUUCCAUACUCACCAAAGAACUUCACAUGGAAAGAGAAAGCUUCUAUAAUAGGAACCAACUGGAGAGACAAAGAAUGACCAAAUUGAUGGCAUGAAAUAUAAAUGGUAAU
rnacentral:lncRNA from 1 species